rnacentral:snRNA from 1 species
CUCCGAAUAAAUACGUGCGGUUC